rnacentral:lncRNA from 1 species
UCAGUAGAGGUAUGGUUGAGGUACAAGGGAGGAACAAAGCUUCGUUGUGAUAGCGGUAGAGGAGAAGAAGAAGGGAGAGUAAGCGGGAUAAGGAGGGGAAAGAACAACGAGACGAAGGGACGCAAAAAGGCAUGAGAGAGAAAAAGAAAAGAGAAAGAGUAAUAAGAUUAUUUUGGCCAAUUUAGUAAAAAUUUCGAUAUAAUUAGCAAAAUCUUAAAAAAUUGUCUAUUUUUGUAAAACCUAAACCCCAGCGAAUAGUUUAUAUAAAUUAUCCUUUUUCGUAUAAUAUAAAAAAUAUUUAAUAAAAUAUUAUAAAUUUCAUAUGUUACAAUUACGACAGAGAAAACCUAAGCUCCAUUUCAGAUUGCAAGGAGAUUGCAUUAUCUACUACAGAAAAUUGCAUGCGAUCGAGAGAUUUUUUUAAAUAUUUUAUUUAUUUUCGUACAUAUUGUCACAUUCCACAUAUCACAAUGACAAUGAGAUAAAUACACUAUACUUUCUAUGAUUCUUUUUAUUUUUUAUGCUCACUUAUGUAUUAUUUCACCCAAAAU